GAUUGAUGUAGACAGGCAUAGCUUUACUUGGAGGAUAAACCACACCUCUGCUUACCUCUACUCUUACAUCCUUGUUCUUAGCUCCCUGCUUUGCCUCUAGUCCCUCUUCUCUGAUCCCUUCCUGUUUUUCCCACUUCUUUAAUUGUCACGCUUAUAUUUCUACUUUUUGUCUUUUUUUGUGAUCUCCUCCCCUCCCCCCCAAAAAACUCUUUGAGGGUCUAUUAACAUUAAAAAAAAA